ACCCCCUGGCAAUGGGCAAGGAGACACCUGAUUGGUGGUGUUGCUCUUACAUCAGUCAGGGGCAAAGCAGAUGUACAGUCCUUAGUUCAUCCUAGCUUGAUGCCUGUGUCGGUGGCAGAGCUGUUUCAUGCCUAAGGCACAUAG
rnacentral:snoRNA from 1 species